AGAGUUUGAUCCUGGCUCAGGAUAAACGCUGGCGGCGUGCCUAACACAUGCAAGUCGAACGCCCUUGCGCAAGCAAGGGAGUGGCGGACGGGUGAGGAACACGUGGGGAUCUACCCAAAGGUGAGGAAUACCGGCGAGAAAUCGCCGACAAAACCGCAUAGCCUCUCUGACGAGAGGAAAGUCGCAAGACGCCUAUGGAU
rnacentral:rRNA from 1 species